rnacentral:misc_RNA from 1 species
UCCUCGUUUAAGCGAGGCAGUCUGUCCAGAGUGCUCCCGACUCUCGUCGGGGUGGCAACAGGACACAAGGGUUGCGCUCGUUGCGGGACUUAACCCAACAUCUCACGACACGAGCUGACGACAGCCAUGCAGCACCUGUGCAAGCUCCCCUUGCGGGGUCGUCCCACUUUCAUGGUUCUACCACUUGCAUGUCAAGGCCAGGUAAGGUUCUUCGCGUUGCAUCGAAUUAAGCCACAUACUCCACCGCUUGUGCAGGCCCCCGUCAAUUUCUUUGAGUUUUAAUCUUGCGACCGUACUUCCCAGGCGGCACGUUUAACGCGUUGGCUUCGCCACAAGUGGGGUCGAUUCCACUUACAGCAAACGUGCACCGUUUACGGCUAGGACUAC